rnacentral:rRNA from 1 species
ACCUUGACAUGUACGAAUCCUUUAGAGAUAGAGGAGUGCUCGAAAGAGAGCCGUAACACAGGUGCUGCAUGGCUGUCGUCAGCUCGUGUCGUGAGAUGUUGGGUUAAGUCCCGCAACGAGCGCAACCCUUGUCAUUAGUUGCUACAUUCAGUUGGGCACUCUAAUGAGACUGCCGGUGACAAACCGGAGGAAGGUGGGGAUGACGUCAAGUCCUCAUGGCCCUUAUAGGUGGGGCUACACACGUCAUACAAUGGAUGGUACAAAGGGUCGCCAACCCGCGAGGGGGAGCCAAUCCCAUAAAGCCAUUCGUAGUCCGGAUCGCAGUCUGCAACUCGACUGCGUGAAGUCGGAAUCGCUAGUAAUCGUGGAUCAGAAUGUCACGGUGAAUACGUUCCCGGGUCCUU